GGAUGUGAGGGCGAUCUGGCUGUGACAUCUGCCACCUCAUUGAAAGUCAGGGUUGAUUCACUGAUCUGGCUGCCUAGUAGUGCUUGUUCAAAGAGAACAGCCUUCCCCAAUAGAGACAGGUCUUUGGUAGAGGGUAUAUGAGUAGCUGCGCUCCCCUGCUAGAACCUCCAAACAAACUCUCAAGGUCCAUUUGUAGGAGAAUGUAGGGUAGUCAAGCUUCCAAGACUGCAGAAACAUCCAUACAAAUGAGGUGCUGCAUGUGGCAGUCUGCCUUUCUU
rnacentral:snRNA from 1 species